rnacentral:rRNA from 1 species
GAUGAACGCUGGCGGUAUGCUUAACACAUGCAAGUCGAACGGGGUCUUCUGACAUAGUGGCGGGAGGGUGAGUAACGCGUUAGAAUCUUACGAUUGGUUGGGGACAACCACUGGAAACGGUGGGCAAUACCGGAUAAGCUUGAAGGGGAAAGAGUAAUUGCCAAGUGAGGAGCUCGCGUCUGAUGAGCUGGUUGGUGGGGUAAGAGCCUACCACGGCGUCGAUCAGUAGCUGGUCUGAGAAGAAGAGCAGCCACACUGGGACUGAGACACGGCACAGACUCCUACGGGAGGCAGCAGUGGGGAAUAUUCCGAAGUGCGAGAGAGUCUGACGGAGCUAUACCGCGUGAGGGAGGAAGGCUCGUGGGUUGUAAUCCUCUUUUCUUUGGGAAAAUAAUGACGGUACCAGAGGAAUAAGCAUCGGCUAACUCCGUG